UGUCAUAACAUUUUUUGAUCUUCUUGUGAAAAUAAAUAAAAAUAAAUAAAUAAAAAAAAUGUGUGAGACAUGGACCUGAGCAACCUCCCGGAAAAAGCUGUAGAAGUCGACAGCUGUCCUGCGGGCUACUUCACAUUCUAUCUCUGCUGUUGAAACAGCCAUCUUCAAUACCCACGCCAUCAUUAGGCGGACGACCUGAAAUCAUAAGAAGGCAACACAAUUAGCGGGAGGCGGGGAAACAUCGGCACGGAGGCCCGAUGAGACCUGGAGUGCGGCGUGCCCAUCUGCAGACAGAGCACGCUGGCUGGCGGAGGUUUCUUACCUUUACCAGCGGGAUGUGUACACGGUCGAAAAACGUGUUGUUGAGAGGCGACAGAGACCCGCUGCACUGCUCCCUCUUUUUUUUUUUUCGGCGCCGGUGGUGUUGUAGUAGGGCCGCUGGUGCUGCGGCACCUGUAAGUAAAAUGAAGGACGUUGUCCCGGGAAGCCUUCGGUCGCAUUGGGCCUAGAAGGGGGAGAAAAAAGUAAAAUCGCC
rnacentral:lncRNA from 1 species